rnacentral:rRNA from 1 species
UACAGAGGGGGCAAGCGUUGUUCGGAAUUACUGGGCGUAAAGGGCGCGUAGGCGGCCUUCUAAGUCGAACGUGAAAUCCCCGGGCUCAACCCGGGAACUGCGUCCGAUACUGGAAGGCUUGAAUCCGGGAGAGGGAUGCGGAAUUCCAGGUGUAGUGGUGAAAUGCGUAGAUAUCUGGAGGAACACCGGUGGCGAAGGCGGCAUCCUGGACCGGCAUUGACGCUGAGGCGCGAAAGCCAGGGGAGCAAACGGG